UGGAGUGGGGGGGCAGGAGUGGCUCAGGGAGAAAGCGUGUAAAGCCCCUGGCCCUCUCUGCCCUUCUGUCCCCUGUCCCUGGAC
rnacentral:pre_miRNA from 13 species